UCUCCGUAGGUGAACCUGCGGAAGGAUCAUUAUCACAUGUUUCCAUGUAUAAACCCUUCGUGCAUUGUUAAACAACUGAAACGCCCUUUAAACUUUUGAACUAACGUUUUCAUACUACAAUACAACGGAUAUGAACUUCUUACGAAACAAAAAACAACUCUUAGCAAUGGAUAUCUUGGUUCUC
rnacentral:misc_RNA from 1 species